GAUGAACGCUGGCGGCGUGCUUAACACAUGCAAGUCGAACGGUGAAGGCGGAGCUUGCUCUGCUGGAUCAGUGGCGAACGGGUGAGUAACACGUGAGCAAUCUGCCCCUGACUCUGGGAUAAGCGCUGGAAACGGCGUCUAAUACUGGAUACGAGCUGCGAAGGCAUCUUCAGCAGCUGGAAAGAACUUCGGUCAGGGAUGAGCUCGCGGCCUAUCAGCUUGUUGGUGAGGUAAUGGCUCACCAAGGCGUCGACGGGUAGCCGGCCUGAGAGGGUGACCGGCCACACUGGGACUGAGACACGGCCCAGACUCCUACGGGAGGCAGCAGUGGGGAAUAUUGCACAAUGGGCGAAAGCCUGAUGCAGCAACGCCGCGUGAGGGACGACGGCCUUCUGGUUGUAAACCUCUUUUAGCAGGGAAGAAGCGAAAGUGACGGUACCUGCAGAAAAAGCGCCGGCUAACUACGUG
rnacentral:rRNA from 1 species